AGCGAACGCUGGCGGCGUGCCUAACACAUGCAAGUCGAACGUGAAAAGGGAAACCUGAGUAAAGUGGCGUACGGGUGAGUAACGCGUAGGUAAUCUACCCCAGAAUCUGGAAUAACCUGCCGAAAGGCGGGCUAAUACUGGAUAGAGCGAGGGAACUCGUAAGAGAGUUUUUCGGGAAAGGGAGCCCGCAAGGGCCUUCGUUCUGGGAUGAGCCUGCGUCUCAUUAGCUAGUUGGUAAGGUAACGGCUUACCAAGGCGAUGAUGAGUAGCUGGUCUGAGAGGAUGAUCAGCCACACUGGAACUGAAACACGGUCCAGACUCCUACGGGAGGCAGCAGUGGGGAAUCUUGCGCAAUGGACGAAAGUCUGACGCAGCCACGCCGCGUGAGUGAAGAGGGCCUUCGGGUUGUAAAGCUCUGUCGGAUGGGACGAACAUCUUCAUAGUGAAUAGCUAUGAGGACUGACGGUACCAUCAAAGGAAGCACCGGCUAACUCCGUG
rnacentral:rRNA from 1 species